rnacentral:ncRNA from 1 species
GUCGCUACAAAAUCAGCGACCGGGUUUGGUCGCCCAGGGUUAGAAUGGCGCACUCUCAGCCGCGCGAGCGGCUGUCUG